ensembl:lncRNA LOC120097090 uncharacterized LOC120097090
CCCAAUAUGGCUGUUUGCCCUGGGAAGGUCGCCUGCAAUGGAGGAGUGAAGAAAAAAGACCGAGACAGAGCAAAGGGACAAAGCAGAGAGGAAGAAAAGGAGCUUAGGCACCGGGGAGCUGACUCAUGGCUUUGGAAACCAAGAGGUAAGCAGACCGAGCCUCAUUGUCAGAAUCAGGACAGAAUUAGGAAGAUGGCUUUGAUCUCAGCAUCCAGGUGCCUCUUCCUUGCCCUUUCAGAGUCACACUCCUUCCCAAGAGUCCAAGGUCACAGGCCAAGGGCUCUGGCAGUUUUGGCCAUAAACCUGCUCCUGACCCGACCACGGUCAAGUUCAAGGGCAUCAGGAAGGCAGCAUGGAGACUGAACACAAUCCACAGGUUUCUGAGCGCCCCAUCUGUGCGCCUCUCCGUCAAAUACUGCAGCAGCUUGCAACUUAAUUGGUUUUCCCCACUUCUUUGUUUAUGCGAGAAAAUAAAAAUGAUUUGAUCCCCAAAUCGAGGGGAAAUGGAUCAGAAAUAAAG